AGUUUAACUACUUUGUGUUGAUACAAAUUACUUAAAAUAAUUCUUUUUUCAGAGGAAUGGCAAUCCGAAAGAGUACAAGGUGUUCCAGAAGGAGAGCCAAUUGAGGUGGAACACCAUAAUUUGGAUGAUGGUAUAAUACCAGAAAGAGUGUAAGAUGUUCUAAUGGAAGAACCAGUUGAGGUGGAACACCAGAAUUUGGAUGAUGGUAAUAUUCUUUUCUAUACACCAGUAACCUAAGGUUUUAGAGGAACUCGUGAGAAACUGCAAUUUACUUCAGUUUAUACUACAUUGUGCUUACAUCCAUUAUAUGGCAGUCGUGGACAAUCAAGAGAAGCAUUGUGGAAGGAAAAGAAAAAGUGUAUAGAGUUCAAAAGAAAGUGAAGUUGCUCAUGAGGAGGGUAUAAUUCUUUCCUUUACCUCGCUAAUCCUUUUUUUUAUUAUCAUAAUAUUUAAUAUUUAAUCACCUUUUUCUUUCUUUUUUUAUCUUUAAAACGAUGCGUUUCAUUACU
rnacentral:lncRNA from 1 species